rnacentral:rRNA from 1 species
GAACGCUGGCGGCGUGCCUAAUACCUGCAAGUCGAGCGAACAGACGAGGAGCUUGCUCCUCUGACAUUAGCGGCGGACGGGUGAGUAACACGUGGAUAACCUACCUAUAAGACUGGGAUAACUUCGGGAAACCGGAGCUAAUACCGGAUAAUAUAUUGAACCGCAUGGUUCAAUAGUGAAAGACGGUUUUGCUGUCACUUAUAGAUGGAUCCGCGCCGCAUUAGCUAGUUGGUAAGGUAACGGCUUACCAAGGCAACGAUGCGUAGCCGACCUGAGAGGGUGAUCGGCCACACUGGAACUGAGACACGGUCCAGACUCCUACGGGAGGCAGCAGUAGGGAAUCUUCCGCAAUGGGCGAAAGCCUGACGGAGCAACGCCGCGUGAGUGAUGAAGGUCUUCGGAUCGUAAAACUCUGUUAUUAGGGAAGAACAAAUGUGUAAGUAACUAUGCACGUCUUGACGGUACCUAAUCAGAAAGCCACGGCUAACUACGUG